rnacentral:tRNA from 1 species
UUCCUGAUGGCUCAGUUGAAAAAGAAUCUGCCUGCAAUGCAGGAGACCUGGGUUCAAUACCUCGGUUGGGAAG